rfam:Klebsiella sp. RIT-PI-d NODE_1_length_2264346_cov_38.3847_ID_1, whole genome shotgun sequence.
AGGAACGUUGAAGACGACGACGUUGAUAGGCCGGGUGUGUAAGCGCAGCGAUGCGUUGAGCUAACCGGUACUAAUGAACCGUGAGGCUUAACCUU